CCUACGGGUGGCAGCAGUGAGGAAUAUUGGUCAAUGGACGAGAGUCUGAACCAGCCAAGUAGCGUGAAGGAUGACUGCCCUAUGGGUUGUAAACUUCUUUUAUAUGGGAAUAAAAUGUUUCACGUGUGGGAUUUUGUAUGUACCAUAUGAAUAAGGAUCGGCUAACUCCGUGCCAGCAGCCGCGGUAAUACGGAGGAUCCGAGCGUUAUCCGGAUUUAUUGGGUUAAAAGGGUGCGUAGGUGGAUUGUUAAGUCAGUUGUGAAAGUUUGCGGCUCAACCGUAAAAUUGCAGUUGAAACUGGCAGUCUUGAGUACAGUAGAGGUGAGCGGAAUUCGUUGUGUAGCGGUGAAAUGCUUAGAUAUCACGAAGAACUCCGAUUGCGAAGGCAGUUCACUGGACUGCAACUGACACUGAGGCUCGAAAGUGUGGGUAUCAAACAGGAUUAGAUACCCUGGUAGUC
rnacentral:rRNA from 1 species